UACGGAGGGGGCGAGCGUUAUUCGGAAUUAUUGGGCGUAAAGGGCGCGUAGGCGGCGCGAUAAGUCAAAGGUGAAAUCCCUCGGCUCAACUGAGGAACUGCCUUUGAAACUGUCGAGCUUGAGUCCGGGAGGGGGUAGCGGAAUUCCCAGUGUAGCGGUGAAAUGCGUAGAUAUUGGGAGGAACACCAGUGGCGAAGGCGGCUACCUGGACCGGUUCUGACGCUGAUGCGCGAAAGCGUGGGUAGCAAACAGG
rnacentral:rRNA from 1 species